GUGCAUGGUGACCCAUGCCUAUGGUUCCUGCUUCUGGAGAAGUUGAAGCUGGUUGGAUUGGGGAACUCUGAAUGACAGUAGACUAAGCCAAUCAGGUAUCCAUACUAAGUCUGGCACCAAUAUGGCGGGCUCCUAGGAAUGGGGGGAACUACCAGGCUGCUUACAGAGGAAAUGAAUUGGCCAAGGUCAGAAAUGGAGUAGGUCAAAGCUUCUGCGCCAAUCAGCAGUGGGGUCGGGCCCACGAGUAGCCGUUAUGCUUCCAGACUUGGGGAGAUAGGUAGAG
rnacentral:SRP_RNA from 1 species